GGUGUUGUUCGUUCAUCGACUUCUUGGCGAGACGCCAUACUUUAGGUUAGAAUUACUGUGCGCGGAAGAGUUGAGGAGCUGCUCGAUCAUGACGUGAGGGUUAGCAAUCUCCGCUUGUUUCCUCGCGUGUCAGAUCAUGUUAUGGAGCAGAGAUCAGUGGCUUUGUUCUCUGCGCAGUUGACGAAAUUAUAACUACAGGACGCUUCAGAUCUUUCCAGCUCUAGUAUUACAGAAAGUUUGGUCUCGUCUGCACCAUGAAUCACGGGAUCGGUGUGGCCGGUAGAGGUCUAGAGAUUCUGUUAGGCUGUCAAGUGUGGAACUCGUGGUAUCAUUUGCUCUAGCUGCGUGUGGAAGGCUAAUUUUAGGCUGUGCCGUUUGAUCCAAAAUUAGGUGAACAGACCGGGUGUCCAAGUCUUUGCUAUUAUCGGCUCUGUUCGAUGGACGGCUGCUGUUGAAACAUAUAAAGCGUGAUCUAUUCUCCUGGUGCGUAUAAAAGCAAGGCAAAUCUCUCUAGCUACCUUGGGGGUUGGUUGUUGGAAGAAGCAACCACUAGCUUCGUUGGAGAUCCAUCAAAGGAACUAACGAAGCUAGAGGUUGGUUCUUCUAGCAAGUUAGGGGCCGCAAGUGUCUGGUCAUUCCCUGCCCUUGUACCAUAUCUCCAGCCGUUCUCCGGCAUUUAGUACUUCGGUUGAUGGCUUCGCCUGCAGCAGCAGCAGAGUUCACUCGGGAAACUGUUCGCCGGUCACUGAUCGCAAUCUCUCAGUCCCUCCCUGAGACUUCGCUCCUGAACCCCAAGGCCAACCCACCAAGCACCACCCCUGGAGCAAACACAUAUCGUGAUGAUGGGGCAGCGAAGUGCAGAUCGAAGCUGAUCUCGAUCUCAUACCCGUCCACUCCUGAUGCCCUGUCCACGCCGUGCCCCCAGAAGAACGCUGCAACCGUGUGAUCACUGACGCCUAAGCGUGCAUACAUAAGUGUUUUUCUUCUUCUUCUGAAGUUCUUCACCCUUCUGCUGUCUUGGUCUUGGUGUGGAAUGGAUGUACUCCAGUGCUUGUGUUUCCUGUAUUCAAACUGAAACAUUUGGGAAGGAAAUGGAGACAAUUGUACA